rnacentral:rRNA from 1 species
AAGGAAUCGAUUAGAGUUUGUUCAUGGCUCAGACGAACGCUGGCGGCUUGCCAUAAGACAUGCAAGUCGAGCGGGAGACCAGCGGGUAGCAAUAUCUGCUGGUUCUAGCGGCGCACGGGUGAGUAACACGUGGGUAAUCUACCCUGAAGACGGGGAUAACCCCGCGAAAGCGGGGCUAAUUCCGGAUGUGGUUGCUGGUGGGCAUCCGCUGGAAAUCAAAAACUGGGGCUCCGGGAAAAAGCCGGACCUGGAGCUUCAUGAUGAGCCCGCAGCCUAUCAACUAUUUNGUGAUGUAAUGGCUCACCACUGCUAAUACGGGUAGUAUGGCUCUGAAAAGAUAGCCAGCCCCACUGGGACUGANUACACGGGGCAGCACACCUACAGUAAGCCAUCAAACUUGAAUCUUUGUCAAUGAAACGAAAACCUGAUGAUAGAAACGACAACGACGGUACUUAAAUAUGGUCUUCUGUCAUGUUAAAACUUCCGGUAUUUCGCUAAAA